GGCGUCCGAAGGGGGUGGAGCCAAGCCGGGGUCACGGUAGGCGAAGGAGGUGAACCUGAGGGGAAGCAACAUGGAUCUUUUGUUUGAUGUCAACGUGAAGGGGCGGACUUCGCAGCCAGUGAAAUAAACACACGCUCCAGGGGCGACGCUUUCCCCCUCGCGGACAAACCCACACGUUGAGCCCUGUGUUUCAGAACAGACACGUAGAGGAACCCGGAUCUUUUUUUUUUUUUCUGUGGCAUGAUCACUCGCGCCUCAGUUUUUUUUAUUUAAAAAAAAAAAAAAAAAAAAACACAGGACUGACUGACUCUGUCCAUGACAACCUGGUGCCGCAAGCGAAAGGAGAAACGUCUGUGUUCAUAUCAUAUGGUCUCUCCGCGCUGCCGCCCUUCGCUCGCCGGCGUCUUCAGAAUAAAAGUGUCCGGUGUUUCAAUUUCAAGCAGACAUCUUGCGAGCGCUCGCGCUCUCUGACUGACCGCCGCGGCCCGGACUGAGUCAGUGACACUGAAAUAGAAAAUAUUAAAAACAGCGGCGGGUGAGUGAAUCAUUUGCGGUGCGCGCCGUCGGACGGAUUGGAGGAGGUGUCUUUUGACAGGCGGCCUCCCCGCGCGCUUCCCGCCGCAUUGUCUCGGACGCGGUGGGUGGUGGAUGUGACAUUGAGUGCGCGCGCUCGCGCACCCUUUCGUGGAAUUACAUCAAUCAAAGCAUGAUUUAUUGAAGAACUUCCCGUGAGAGCAAUAGAUGAGCGCAACACGGGCUGACUGUAGCUGGAGCACUUUGAGAAAACUAAGAGUGUGUGUGUGUGUGUGUGUGUACCAGUCAGUGUGACAGUGAGGUCUCAGUCAGUGUGUUGGACCUAGUGUGCCCGUCCCUGUUACACACUGGCUCCUUCUUCCCCCAGAGAUGGCGGGGGGCACCGUGAUGCGAUGGGUCAUAUCGGAAGAUGGCAGCCACUUGAUUCGAAGGGACGAGCUGGAGGAGGAGUUCCUUAAAGGUGUGGAAGACCAGUCUCACAGAGCAACAGCGAAACAGGAGGCCGCUGACCAGCCGGUUACGUCCCCAUUAUCACCCCCACCCUCCUCCUCGGUAUCGUCGCGAUCCACCUGCAGAAGAAAUGGUGGGUGUGGUAAAUCAUAACCCUUUCAUUAACCUGACGCUUUUCUCCAAUGCAAUGGUGCAAUACAGUGUUAAGGUACUUACAGUUAUUUACCCAUUUACACAGCUGGUUAACUUUACUAAAGCAAUUGAAGGUAAGUACCUUGCUCAAAAGUACCACAGCUGGAGGUGGGAUUCAAACCUGUGACCUUUGGGUGCGAAGGCAGUAGCUGUAACCACUACACCACCAGCUGCAUUGAUUGUACGGACUUGCGUCACUUAACGACGGGGAUACGUUCUGAGAAAUGUGUCGUUAGGCGAUUUCGUCGUUGUGCGAACAUCAUAGUGUACUUAUUAAUAUUAUAGUAUAUAUAAUAAAAUUAAAUAU
rnacentral:lncRNA from 1 species